AAGAGUUAGGGUCUUCUAGGCCCGACCUCCCAACCCUGUGUUUAACAAACCUCUGUUGCUUCGGCGGGUCCGUCUCACGACCGCCGGGGGACCCUUACCGGUUCUCUGGCCCGUGUCCGCCGGUGGCCAACCUUAACAAACUCUGAAUGAAUCAUGUCUAUAUGUCUGAGUACAAUUACAAAAUAAAAACA
rnacentral:misc_RNA from 1 species